rnacentral:lncRNA from 1 species
UUUCUUUUUCGUGUUAGUAAUAAGACUUAAGUUGUUGCUUGUUUUACUCUCAUUUACACAUACAAACAGCCUACAAGUUAGUGUGGUGUUAGAUUUUCUUUUGUUUUGUUCUUAACCAUUUUGUCUGAUAACUUGCAGAUGUUGGCCUUCAUUCAUGUUUCGUCGCAAGGUCCAGGACGAAGAAGCCAGGAGAAGCACAAAGUUCUUGAUCAUUGGAGCUAGUUAUUGUUUUGAUUUUUUAGUUGUGUUACCUGAUGUGAACUAGUUUUGAUUGUAAACCUGAUGCGAACCAUGUUUGAUUGAAAUGUGCCAAGUUUGGAUAUGUUUGAUUGUAUUCAUGAUGUGACAGAGGUUCAAGUUAUAAUGGUUGUUUGACAUAUUUUGUAAUUUCUGAUGUGUGGGACCAAUUUUGAGAUCAGCAUGACAUGUGGGACUAGU